AUGCAAUAUCCGAGCUUGUAUAGGAUUGUUAGACAUAAAUUUGUCACAAUCAAACAAGUUUUAGGACAAGAAAAUCCUGAUAUUUCUUUCUGUAGGGACCUUUUUGGCCCUCGUCUGGCAGCGUGGAAUGAAUUACUCACUCGCCUGGAGGACAUUCAACUGUCAGGUGAGCCGGCCAUUUUCUGAUGGAACUUGCAUCAGAAUGGCAAAUUUUCAGUCAAAUCCAUGUAUGAUGCAAUGGUUCAUUGUGAUGUUCCAGUUGAUAACAGGAAAUUGUGGAAGCUCAAAAUUCCUUUAAGAGUGAAGAUUUUCCUCUGGUUUCUUAACAAAGGAGUCAUCCCAACUAGAGACAAUCUGGUACAACGAAACUGGCAUGGUUCCAAGACAUGUGUCUUUUGCCAACAUGACGAGUCUAUUAAACACUUAUAUUUUGACUGCAAGUUCGCUCGGGCAGUUUGGGCCAUAGUUCAAGUAGCUUCGAAUCUAUACCCACCACGUAGUGCACGAAACAUUGUUCGGCAACUGGUUGCGGGGUAUUGA
rnacentral:rRNA from 1 species